GAUUGGACUUGUCCAAACACGCAGAUUCUUUUUCCUAAUGAUCCAUUGUAUGCCCAGAGCAUCCGUGAACCCUUGAAAAACGUGGUGGAUAAGAGCUGUCCAAGAGGCAUCAUCAGAGUAGAGGAGAGUUUCAGAAGUGGAGCUAAGCCUCCUCUGAGAGCCAGAGAUUUUAUGGCCACUAACCCUGAACAUUUAGAAAUCCUGAAGAAGAUGGGGGUGAGUUUGAUUCACCUCAAAGAUGGGCGAGUCCAGCUGGUCCAACAUGCAAUCCAAGCUGCGAGUUCAGUUGAUGCUGAGGACGGGUUGCGGUUCAUGCAGGAGAUGAUAGAGUUGUCCAGUCAGCAACAGAAGGAGCAGCAGCUGCCUCCUCGAG
rnacentral:lncRNA from 1 species